GAUGAAGAACGUAGCGAAAUGCGAUAAGUAGUGUGAAUUGCAGAAUUCAGUGAAUCAUCGAAUCUUUGAACGCACAUUGCGCCCUUUGGUAUUCCUUAGGGCAUGCCUGUUCGAGCGUCGUUUGAAACCUCAAGCUCAGCUUGGUGUUGGGUGUCUGUCCCCGCCUCACCGCGGGGACUCGCCUCAAAAUCAUUGGCGGCCGGUACGUUGGCUUCGAGCGCAGCAGAAACGCGAACUCGAGGCCCGGCGGAUCGGCGACCAGAAGUCACUUCUUCACAGUUUGACCUCGGAUCAGGUAGGGAUACCCGCUGAACUUAAGCAUAUCAAUAAGCGGAGGA
rnacentral:misc_RNA from 1 species